rnacentral:pre_miRNA from 1 species
AUCACCUGGGGAUCUUGUUAAAAUGCAGAUUUUGAUUCAGUAUGUUUGGGGUGGGCCAGAGUGCUACAUUUUAACAAGCUCCCAUGUGUUGCUAA